GCCGGGCGUGGUGGUGCACCCUGUAAUUCCAGCAUCUCGAAGGCUGAGACAGGAUGAUGGUGAGUUCAAAGCCAGCCUCAGCAACAGUGAGGCCCUAAGCAACUCAGUGAGACCCUGUCUCUA
rnacentral:sRNA from 1 species